AUUGAACGCUGGCGGCAGGCCUAACACAUGCAAGUCGAACGAGUGGCGGACGGGUGAGUAAUGUCGGGGAAAUUGCCUGAUGGAGGGGGAUAACUACUGGAACUGGUAGCUAAUACCGCAUACCAUAAGAUGUGCCCGGAUGGGAUUAGCUUGUUGGUGGGGUAACGGCGCACCAAGACGACGAUCCCUAGCUGGUCUGCGAGGAUGACCGGCCACACUGUAAAGUAGACACGGUCCAGACGCCUAUGGGAGGCAGCGGUGGGGAAGAUUGGACAAUGGGCGCACGCCUGAUGAAGCCAUGCCGGGGGUAGGAAGAGGGCCUUCGGGUUGUAAAGUACUUUCAGCGGGGAGGCGUUACCCGACGAAGAAGCACCGGCUAACUCCGUGCCAGCAGCCGCGGUAAUUC
rnacentral:rRNA from 1 species